rnacentral:lncRNA from 10 species
UUACAACAUGCUCCUUUAGCUCAGUGAAGUUCAUUAUUACCCAUCUUCUGAAAUCUACUUCUGCCAAUUAAGCCACCUCAGCCUCUACCCAGUUCUAUGCCCUUGCUGGAGAGGGAUUGUGGUCAUUUGGAGGAGAAGAGGCACUCUUGAUUUCUGAGUUUUCAGCAUUUUUGCAUUGAUUCUUUCUCAUCUUUGUGGGCUUAUCUACCUUCAGUUUUUGAGGACUACUUUGGUUUUCUGGGGGUCCACUUCAGACCCUAGUUGCCUUGGUUUUUCCCAUACCUGGAGAUGUCACCAGUGAAGCCUGGGAAACAGCAAAGAGGGCAGCCUGAUCGUUCAUCUGGAAACUUUGUUCCAGCAUAAGAAGCCUCUCACCCUAAACAUCACAGCUGGGAAUAUGCUGGACCACAACUAAAGCCAGCAUGGCACUGACUCUGACCAAAGGUGAGACCCAGUACUCAUCAAGAGAAGCCUGAAGUGCUCUGAAGGCUGCCAACAAAAUGUCAAGUGAGUCCACUGACAAAAAGGAAGAGAAACCUUGGAAAAACAUUAUUGCUUAUGUUCCAUCUGAAUCUGAGCAGCUGACCUGAGGAAGGAGCACACUUCAAUUUGGACUAGCCACAUUUCAAGUGCUUGACAGUCACAGGUGACUAAUGGCUCUCCUAUGGGUUAUAGCCCAGCUCUUGACUCUUUGAUCCACAAGGAUAAGAACCACAUCCACUUCCACAUCUCCAGGUAUGAGGCAGAUAAAUAGCAGAGAGUGAUUACACAAAACUCUUCUCACCACGGAUUCCGGCAUUUGUGGGCAGCUGCAGAAGAGUAGGUGGGAGGAUCUCCCAGAUUAUGAGGCCAGUUUUUCUGUGGCUCAGAGACUGCCAGUGACUCGCUCAAGAUAAAACAGCUUGUUAGUGGCAGGGAUGGAGCCCAGAAAUCCUGUUUCCUGUCCUCAGGAGUGUGUGUUCGAAAGAAGUUCUUGGCAAAGGUGAGAAUAAAUCAUAGGCUCUUUGAAGAGGACUCCAGUGUAUUAAACAAAUAGGUUGCUGAGAUGCAGUUAACUACUCAGUAAUGUAGUUGAAGAAAAUUAAUUUUUCAUUCUGCCACUCAGAAUAUCGAGGCUGGCCAUCUGUAAACACAGCCUGUCUCUAGGAGAACAGAGGUGGAAUCCUCCUUGCAAGUUUAAAAAAAUAACAGAGUAAUCUCAGUGGAUGUCUUAAGAGAAACAUAAUUAUAAUUUAGUUGACAUAUCUCAUAUCUCAGUGAUGGUAAAUAAACCUUCCCUAAAUAAUUCAAUUAUAAAUGUUGCUCCUUUGGAGAAGUGAACUGAACUGGUCUUGAAUGGAAUUGGGUAAGUGUUUCCACAUACAAAAAAACAGCACGUGCUGGCGAGAAAGCAUGUCCCACAUCUCAGAGCUCACUGGGGACUGCCUCAGCUACUGGCUCUGUAAACCAGCAGCUCUAUGGUAACGGGACUCUCCUUCAACCACAUGGCUGCCUGUGUGUGUAUCUGAUUGCUCUGUGGGGGAGUGGCAGAGAAGAACAAUGUGCAUUUAUAAUGGAGCCCCAGUACAGACCUUUCACCACAGGGACUUCCCAGACCAAUCUUGUUCUGGUGGAAUUCAGAGCCACUGAAUGAAAUUAAAGGCCAUCAGUGGGGUCAUGCCAUGAACAUCACAUCAUUGCUCUAGAAAAGACAAACCCAUUCCAGCCACAUCUGGACCACCUGCUCCCCUUGUAGAAUGAUUUCUGCAGAAGGGCCAAUUUGCAUUUCACAGGGACCUCGAGAGAAGGCUUGUCAACAGGUUGUCUCAGCUUGGAAUUCCACAGCAAAAAAAAAAGAUACUUUCUUUGAACUACGAGUCAGUCUGUUAAGUUUGGGGGAAUUUGUAGAAAUAUUUGAAGAACAGUUGCAGUUUUAAAUCCAUUAGGAUAUCUAAGAUCUUAAGCACAGGCUGUUACGGAUAUUUGCCAAGCGGAAUUUUCACUUGAGUUUUGGUCUCAUAUAAAGCUCUGGAAACUGAUUGAAAUCCAGUAAUACUCUUUCCCCUCCCCCAAAAAAUCAAAACAAAACAAAUGCCACAAACACAAAAGCGUUCCUCCUACCACCUUUCUCUGGCUCUGGAGAGAAGGUGGAAUAGUCCUUAUACUUUCAUGCUAGGUUCUGAUUAAUCACCUAGGAUAGACUUUGUGAGUGCCAAUUACAGGCAAAGCAUGUGCUGGUUCCAAGCUUUGGUGUGACUGUGGAUGUAAGAAAAUGUGAAUAUAAAUGGCCUCCCUUGUUUACUGAGAUCAGUGUGGCUCAUUCUUCCUGAUGACUUCCAUCCAACCUGCACUGUUCAGGAACCAGAUUAUACAGUCUUAGAACAAGACUGGGAAGGCCUCAGAGUCCAGGACUCUGUUUUGGUCUUCUCUUGUUCCCCACUAUGGCUCUCAAAUACAGGGCUAGGGGCAUAAAAAUGCAGAGUGUUCACUGCAUUUGAUACCAUUACUCACUAUGACAGAAAAAGCAGUGGCCAGAAUAGUGGAGCACCACCUUUUUUUUUUUGGCAUGAGAAAAAUAUUCCUUGAAUCGUAUAUAAUAUUAGUAAUUUGUAAGAUGUUCUAUGUGUUCAGAAAGUGCUAUUUUUCAAGAAGGACCCCUUGUUAAUGACAAUAAAGGCUCUCAUGAAAAGGUCCAUAAACCUCAUUCAUUCAUUCAUCUGUUAACUAAAUAUGCAUGGAGCCUGCCAUGUAUCAGGCGCCCUGCUCCACACAGAGAAAGCUAAGAGCUGGAGCCUCAGAACUGCCUGGCAAAGCCUUGUAGGCUCCCUCUCUAGUGAUCUGGCAGAAGUGGAUGAGGUGCUCAGACUGAAGACUAUUUUAGAGGGCAUUGAUUCUUAUGCCUGAGAUUCUAAGGGAUUUUGUGGCUUUAUCUGCUAAGGGGAGGGCAGUUUUGAGAAGAGAAAGGGGAGGCUGAAGAUGGCAGGCUCUCAAAGGUCCUCAUCACCUGUAACUGUCUUUCCUGCAGUUCUUCCUAAGGAGCCCCCUUGGAAGGAGACCCCACCACUAUGCCACAUACUGUGGGUCCUAGGUCCUCAUGUGAGGGUAAACUUCUACUUAUAAACCAGGGGCUAUAGCCGAAUCAAGAAAAAUUCUUUUUUCUGCUGUCUUUAACUGUUGGAUAAUAAUUUUGUUCCUUUUAAGAAAUUUUCUUAAAAAGUUGAAUUUCUAACAACAUCCUGGAGAGCUGGCUCAUUAAGAGCAUUCCUAUUGUGUUGUCAGGAUAAUGGCCCCCUUAUAGGUUCAUGUCCUAAUCUCUGAAACCUGUGAAUAUGUUACAGUCAUGCAUCGCUUAGCAACAAGGACACAUUCUAAGAAAUGCGUCCUUCGGUUAUUUCUUCAUUGUCGAACAUCAUAGAGUGCACUCACACAAACCUAGACGGCAUAGCCCACUACACACCUAGGCUCUAUGGUACAGCCUAUUGCUCCUAGGCUAUGGACCUGUACAGGAUGUUACUGUACCAAAUACUGUAGGCAGAUGUAACAUGAUGGUAAGUAUGUGUUUAUUUAGACACAAGUAAAUAUAAAAAAUGUAAAAUGGUGAUGCAGUAUUAUAAUCUCAUGGGACUACCUUCCUAUAUGCAGUCUAUCAUUGACUGAAAUGUGAUUAUGUGGCACAUGACUGUACUUAAACAGCAAAAAGGACUUUUCAGAAGUGAUUAAAUGAAGAAUCUUGAGAUGGGGAGAGUAUCCUGGACCAUUUAGGUGGGUCCAAUGCUACACAAAGGUCCUCACAAUUAAAGAGGGAGGCAGGAGAGCCAGACAUGAUGUGAUGAAUGAAGAAGAGGUUGAAUAAUGCAGUGGCUGACCUUAAAGAUGAAAGGGGCUAUAAGCCAUGGCGUGUUGUAAACUGUAAAGUAGAAGGAAACAGAAGCUCUUCUAGGGCCUCCAGAAGGAGCACAGCCUUCCCAAUACUUUGAUUGAUUUUAGCCCCGGAGACCCAUUUCAGACAUCUGACCUCCAAGAUUGUAAGAUAAUAAACUUAUGUUGAAGUCACUACAUAUGUGGUAUAUUAUAUGGUUGCAAUAGGAAACCAACACACUCAUCUUGCUCAACACACAAUCCUUGCUUCUCUACACAAACUGAUUUCCUCAAUGUUCCCCUUUUAUACUAGACUUUGUGUACGCCACUUCUGCUCUGCUGUCUCAUCUCCUUCUUCCACUUCUCCCGACCAAUCAGCUUUCCAAGGCCAGCUCCACACUCCACUGCACCCCAUCCCCUGCCCUGAAAUUCUUCAUAGAUGCCAGGCACAAUGUGCUCUGAUUUCUGAUUCUCUCAGUAUUUUGAAGAGUGUUUAUCAAUAUGUGUAAUUCACGAUUACUUUAGACAAACAAACAAAAAGCUCAUCUUCCAAAAGGUGUUUAAAAGUGCUGGGCUGACCACACACAGGAUAACCAAAGACCACCUCUGCUUGGUGGCUUCUGCAUGCCUAAGACUCCCCAAGCUGUUUAAUAAGGGCUCAAUUCCUGAUUGCCUUCACAGUGAACUGUGGGGUACAGGGGUCAGUAGCUGCCCUCUGUCCACCCUGUAUGCAAACAGGCCUGCAUCCUUCACUGCUCAGCCCCACAAGCCUGUGUUCAUUUGCUACAAUUUGCUCCAUUUAGAGGUGUAGAAUUAGUUGACUUUCAGGUCAGACAGUGCUGAGCCUGAAAGAUGUGCCCUUCUGAGUCUCUGAGACAUCUCCCUGGGGAAAGGCCCACUUGGGAGAAGGUUCCCUUUUUUUUAUUUUACCCUUCACCCACCACCACCAUAAGCACAGCCUGCUUUCAUACAUUUUGUGCCAUACCCUGGGCUAAGAUCUUUGCAUUGCCUAUUCUCCCAAUAAUUCUUGGAGGUAUUACUAUUAUUUUCUCCAUUUUACAAAUAGACUGAAGCUCAGAGAGGUGGAAUAACAUGUCCAAGGUCACACAAUGAGUUUGUGUCUACAGCCUUGCUGUUUGAACUGUGGGCCAUGAACCAGCAGCACAGGCAUCCCUUGGGAGCUGGUUAGAAAUGUAGAAUCAUAGACUCCACCCCAGGCCUUCUGAAUCUGAAUCUUAACAAGUUCUCCAGGCAAUUAACAUGCACAUUAAAGUUUGAGAAGUUCUGCUCUAAACCACUAAGCAGUACUAUCACUCAAGAAAGAAAAAGAAAAACAAUCAUUUAUUGGAUGAG